rnacentral:rRNA from 1 species
AGAGUUUGAUCCUGGCUCAGGACGAACGCUGGCGGCGUGCCUAAUACAUGCAAGUCGAACGCUUCUUUUCUACCGAGUGCUUGCACUCACUUGAAAAGAGGAGUGGCGGACGGGUGAGUAACACGUGGGUAACCUACCCAUCAGAGGGGGAUAACACUUGGAAACAGGUGCUAAUACCGCAUAAUAGUCGACAUCGCAUGGUGUUGAUUUGAAAGACGCUUUCGGGUGUCACUGACGGAUGGACCCGCGGUGCAUUAGCUAGUUGGUGAGGUAACGGCUCACCAAGGCCAUGAUGCAUAGCCGACCCGAGAGGGUGAUCGGCCACACUGGGACUGAGACACGGCCCAGACUCCUACGGGAGGCAGCAGUAGGGAAUCUUCGGCAAUGGACGAAAGUCUGACCGAGCAACGCCGCGUGAGUGAAGAAGGUUUUCGGAUCGUAAAACUCUGUUGUUAGAGAAGAACAAGUAGGAGAGUAACUGCUCUUACCUUGACGGUAUCUAACCAGAAAGCCACGGCUAACUACGUGCCAGCAGCCGCGGUAAUACGUAGGAGGCAAGCGUUGUCCGGAUUUAUUGGGCGUAAAGCGAGCGCAGGCGGUUUCUUAAGUCUGAUGUGAAAGCCCCCGGCUCAACCGGGGGGGGGUCAUUGGAAACUGGGAGACUUGAGUGCAGAAGAGGAGAGUGGAAUUCCAUGUGUAGCGGUGAAAUGCGUAGAUAUAUGGAGGAACACCAGUGGCGAACGCGACUCUCUGGUCUGUAACUGACGCUGAGCUCGAAAGCGUGGGGAGCAAACAGGAUUAGAUACUCCUGGUAGUCCACGCCGUA